rnacentral:rRNA from 1 species
UACGGAGGGUGCUAGCGUUGUUCGGAAUUACUGGGCGUAAAGCGCGUGUAGGCGGCCCGCUAAGUCUGAUGUGAAAGCCCGGGGCUCACCCCCGGAAGUGCAUUGGAGACUGGCGGGCUCGAGUCCCGGAGAGGAGGGUGGAAUUCCUGGUGUAGCGGUGAAAUGCGCAGAUAUCAGGAAGAACACCCGUGGCUAAGGCGGCUCUCUAGUACGGUACUGACGCUGAGACGCGAAAGCGUGGGGAGCGAACAGG